UGUAUUGACUAUGUUCCUGACCUUAAGCCGAUUGGUAUUCCUCAAUCGCGGCACGAGGGGAGACUAAGUGGAAAAGGAAAGAUCGGAAGGAAAUCCACGAUAUGUAUGGACGGUCAUUCUAUGACUGAAGCACACCACACAGUUCUGCAAAAUUCCAGCUUGGUGGCUCCGUACUUCGAGCAACACAAGAAUAUUUUACGCUCGGACAACCCGGGGAAGCCUGAAUCCUGGAUUAGAAAGGCCCACAUGGAGACUUUCGGCAGUUGGUUGCGAAAACAUUUAAUGAAUGACAAUGAUGUUGGAGAUCAGCUGUACAUGUUGGCCAAGAAACCAUCUUCGACUAUAACGAUUUUCCAAGGGUACGAGAUAAAUGGGAAUACAUUU
rnacentral:rRNA from 1 species